rnacentral:lncRNA from 1 species
GGCUAGUAUGAUUGAGGAACUGUAUUUUCACCUUUAUUUGAUUUUAAUGAAUUUAAGCCUAAAUGGCCACACAUGGCAAGGGGCUACCUCCAAGUUCUAGAACCUCUCAAUCAUGAUCUCAUGGGAGAAGGAUUCUUACCCACAGUGACGCAGGAGAAUCAACUGAAGCUUUUACAAAAUUCAAGUACUUAACUCCACUUCAGAUUUCCUGACUCAGAACCUCUGGUGUUUGUGCUAUAAUGGUCUGCGAAGCUCCUUGCUGCUCGAAAUUCUCUAAAAGAAAAAGAGGAAAUGUUACCAUAGAAGUUUAUGCAUUAGCUCAGCUGCUCAUUAGUGGAGAUUAAAACUUUUUGGAUGGAUUUAUUGCCUUUUACAUUCACCUAGCUGAGAACAAGACCCUGAAGCAACAGCAAGGGGAAAAAAGAGGGGUCGGUUUUAAUAGAGAAGGCGGCAGCCAAGAAAGUCCCAAGAAUUUGGCAAUCGAUGCCCAUGCCUUUGUGGGCUUUGUGUUGGCAUCUCUGGGCCGCCCAAGGUCAGCAUGAAGGCACUAGAAAAAAAGAGCCUACUGUCAAUACCUUUUACCCCCUAAAAUGUUUUCUGGAGUCACCUGGCAGUUCAAGGGGUGGUGCCAAGAGAUCCGGAAUGGAACAGACCCACGGUAUGAAGAGGGAAGGUCUAGGCCCACCUGCCCCCUUCCAUGAAACCAAACUCAAGCGUCUGCAUCAAGAGCAUGACUUCAGGCAAUCUUGGAUAGCUUCUCCAACUCCGACAACAUUCCAUGAUACAAAGAAUACGUAAACUAGGCUUUGAAGAGAAAAGAAUGAAACUCUACAAGUCAAGCACAAAAGAAGGAGGAGGAGGAGGAGGAGGAGGAGAAGAAGAAGAAAAACAACCUAGAAGCCUAUUUUUCACACCCCUUUCUUGCUCACCCAUUAGAAAUCUUGAAAUCUCCUCCCCAGCAAUAAUUCUUCUGUGACUUCUCAUUAGAAACCUGCUUAAGAUAGAAUAUUAACUCAUAGCAAUAAAGUUG